AUCUCAGGAAGUUGUGGGUGCCUGUGCAAGAGUUUGACGGACUAUAUUUUGACUGAGGAAAGGCUGACUGAGGGCAACUAUCCUGCCCUCAACCCUGAGAAAUCUGUUUGUGCCAUUCUUUUUGCUGACAAUAAGAAAUGCAACGCAGACCGCAGGCAGGACUGAGAACCUACUGCCACCCUGACCAUCAAGUUAGGGAGUAAACAAAAGUCACAAAGUGCUUUACAUGGUUGGACAACAAUGUCAACCUUUCAGGGCAGAGGCAUAUACAAUCAAGCAAUUAAAAUGAUACAAAGUUUAAGUGGAAGAAGAUCCCCACAACAGGGAUGACAGUAAUAAUAAAAAGGUGGAGUGGAGACCCACAAUUGCUGUGAGGAAUUCAUGGGAGCACCUAGAUGGCAGGUGCUUAA